CUCACCAGAGUUGUUGGAGGCUGCCACCGCUCUGCCUGGUUCUGUGUUGAGUCGCGCCGCCGUGCCUGGCUGCCGGAAAACCUCGAUAACGUCGUCGGAGAACUCUGCCGAUGACCUACCGGAGCUUCUGGCCACCGCCGGAGCUGCUGCCAGGCCGGUUCGAAAUCACAGCUGCUUUGUGUUGAAAUUCCAAGCUGAUUAUGCUGCUGCGAAUAUGUGUGGGGCUGUGCUUUGAAGCUGCCUUUGAUUUUGAGUUAAGGCGAAAAGAACUUUUAAGGCGCUUGGAUUAUGGAAUUGCGUUUGAGG